CUCCUCUGGCUCCUGAUACGGCAGACUGAGGGGGAUGUCAAUGAAGCCAGAGGUGGAGGCCUCAUCGCAGACCUCAGAGGGGGCUGCAGCUCGUUUUUUUUCCUCUGCCUGCUUUUUCUUUAUGACCAGCUGAAAAUGUCUUCCAGUUUCCCCCAGUUUCUGAAGACAAUAAAGUAUGUUGGACUCUA